GGUGGUGUCGUUAAUAGCGGCAUCAUUUGACGUUAGCAACAGAAGAAGCACCGGACUAACUCCGUGCCAGCACGCCGACGGUAAUACGGGAGGGUGCGAGUCGUUAAGUCGGUAAUUACGUGGGACGUAAAAGCGCAUGCAGGUGGUUUAGUUAAGUCAGAUGUAGAAAACGGCCCGGGCUACAAACCGUCGGAAACUGCUAUUUAGAAAACUGGCAGACUAGAGUACUGUAGGAGGGGGUAGAAUUUCAGGUGUAGCGGUGAAAAUGCGUAGAGAUCUGAAGGAAUACCAGUGGCGAAGGCGGCCCCUGGACAAAGACUGACGCUCAGAUGCGAAAGCGUGGGGAGCAAACAGGAUUAGAUACCCUGGUAG
rnacentral:rRNA from 1 species